UCUCUCUCUCUCUCUCUCUCUCUCUCUCUCUCUCUCUUUCUCUUAAUUUUACACAAAUAAAAAAAAAUAUUUUUCUCUCUCGUUCUCUCUAUUCUUCCUUGUUAGGGCACUUUUUAGCUCCAGUUCUCUCAUCUGUUUUGAUUUUUGUUCUUUUUCUCUUUGGGAUUCACAGGGUGGGUUGCUUGAUUUAUUGAGGAAUUGUAUCUAAUGUGACCCAUUUUACCCUUUAUCCGAUUAUCUCCUCGCUAUUUCUUUUGACAUUUCCUCUCCCUUGUUUUGAGUGCUUUUAGGGACUAAGGAUUGGGUUCUUGGUAGGGUUGAGUAAUUAUGCAUGUUUGAAAACGAGUGCUUUUAGCGAGUAAGGAUUGGGUUCUUGGUAGGGUUGAGUAAUUAUGCAUGUUUGAAAACGAUUGCAAUUUGGAUUUAUGGGAUUAUUCUUGCUAUCCUAUUUUUCUUUUGGGACUUUCUCUUGAGACUUUCUAUUUCUACCUCUCUUAGUUUUCUCCUCUUUUCUGGAAAUUAAGGGAUAUGGUUGCUGGAGCACUUGAAUAGUUGCAUCUUUUGUGAAAAGACUGUGAUUUCAAUUUAUGAGGUUAUGGUGAUACGCCUAGCAUUUGGAGUAGUGUUUAUGGUGUCAUGGUCAUGGGUUGACAUUUGAAGUUCUGUGGCAUCUAUUUGACAAACUCUUUGAGAUGUUUACUAGGACUUGAUCAAUGGAGAUAAGGCAUUCCAUUGAUUUUAUUAUCAUUAUGAGUAAUUUUGGUUCAGGUUUUUGUAUUUUAUAGGUUUUCUUUAAGCAAUCAUCUUAGCUGGAGAUGAAAUGCUGUUAGGAUUUCUGGGGAGUUUUCACAUUACCACGACUGCUGUUUAUGUUCUAGUGACUUACAUUGCCAAAUUUAUGUGUCAUGUGAUAUCAUGUAGCGGAGAGAGUGAAUCAUCUGUUGUGGCAUCAUAAGUUCACAUGGAAAAUUUGGAGCUUUUUUUUUGCAAAUGUUUGAUUUUGACAUAUUGGAUGGUGUUGGCUUCACUUGCUGCCAGUGACUUAAAACCCAGACUCAGUUUGGGACUCGCUGCGGUCUUGAGACUUGCCCAAGUCUCAAUUCAAGUCAUGGAGUUUUAAAGCAUUGCUUGCAACAUUCAUCACUAACUAGUCAUCAGGCCCACUGCAUGAGAGAGUUUGCUUUCCAUGGAAAAUAUGUUUGCUUGGCUGUCUUAUGGUGUCUACAGUGAGGAACCCUUUGACUCAUGGAGGAUAUUACUUGCAUCGGGAAAACCUGUCUGUUUGCAUUAUAGUAUUCAUCAUCUCUUGGGUGCUAUCAAUUAGAAAUUUCAUGGUUCAAGGAUAAAUGACUUGGUUCACUAUUUAAGAGAGAUUAUACAUGGAAGCUAUAAGACCCAAGAUUGAGCACAAUGAAACCCAACUUCUAUUGCAGCUCUUGGGGUCCCCUGGGCCGUCAGCAGUGUUGUUACGCAAAUACACGCUCAAACCUAGAAUGGCUGGUACCUAGUUGCCUUCACUCCAUAUGAGGGCUUAUACCCCUUUGGUUUUCUUCUCAAGUCCUUUUGGGGCUUUUGAUAGCAGGACUGGAUGCGUGAGCUAAUUUACAGAAGUGCCACAUGGAGACUAGAAGUCAUUUAAGAUGAGAUUUUCCAAUUGUGAGGCUUAUUGAUGUGCUACUUUUUGCAUGUUCCUAGUUGCCUAUGAGUUGGUUGGUUUUUUUUCAUAGGGAAGGUUAUCUGCAUUCAAUGUAUGAUUUUGUUUAAGGGAAUCUAUCCUGGCCGUUGUUAUAAUUGAGCUACACCCUUGUGUAGUCUCACAAUGUAUGCUGUAUUUUGAGAAUAGAUAAAUGUACCGAGAAAAAGGAGCUAGAAACGUUGGUAUCUCGUCAUAAAAUUCUGUGAAUACAACCACAUAUGCCUGAAUUUGGUGGGGACUGGUGAUCGGAUAUGUGAAUAACAAAGAGAAAACUUGUGGGAACUUUCUUGCUGGGUUGCUGCACUAGAACCCUACUAGUUGCUUAACUAGAACCCUACUAGUUGCUUACUUUUUUUUGGCCUUCUGCUACAUAUCAGUUUAUGAGGACAAUAAUUUUUUUGCCCCUUUUGGGCUGCAUAAACCUGCCAAGUAGUUCUUCAGUUUUAUUGGCAAUUUGAGCAUCAAUGUUAAAAAAUGCGGAGGCGGGCUCCCAGAAACAACUUCGCGG
rnacentral:lncRNA from 1 species